UGGGGAUUCGUCUAGUGGUAAGACGACAGACUCUGGCUCUGUAAACCGAGGUUCGAGUCCUCGAUCCCCAGCCA
rnacentral:tRNA from 2 species